GACGAACGCUGGCGGCGUGCUUAACACAUGCAAGUCGAGCGGUAAGGCCCUUUCGGGGGUACGACGAGCGGCGAACGGGUGAGUAACACGUGGGUGACCUGCCUUUAGCUCUGGGAUAAGCCUGGGAAACCGGGUCUAAUACCGGAUAUGACUCCGCGGCGCAUGUUGUGGGGUGGAAAGCCUUGUGCGGCUGGGGAUGGGCCCGCGGCCUAUCAGCUUGUUGGUGGGGUGAUGGCCUACCAAGGCGACGACGGGUAGCCGGCCUGAGAGGGCGACCGGCCACACUGGGACUGAGACACGGCCCAGACUCCUACGGGAGGGCAGCAGUGGGGGAAGUCUUGCGCAAUGGGCGAAAGCCUGACGCAGCGACGCCGCGUGAGGGAUGACGGCCU
rnacentral:rRNA from 1 species